GACGAACGCUGGCGGCGUGCUUAACACAUGCAAGUCGAACGGAAAGGCCCUGCUUUUGUGGGGUGCAUGAUUGCCGAACGGGUGAGUAACACGUGAGUAACCUGUCCUUGACUGUGUGAUAACUUCAGGAAACUGGGGCUCAUAUCCGAUAGGAGCUCCUGCUGCAUGGUGGUGGUAGGAAAGUUUCGGCGGUGGGGGAUGGACUCGCGGCUUAUCAGCUUGUUGGUGGAGUAGUGGCUUACCAAGGGUUUGACGGGUAGCCGGCAUGAGAGGGUGACCGGCCACAUUGGGACUGAGGUACGGCGCAGACUCCUACGGGAGGCAGCAGUGGGGAAUAUUGCACAAUGGGCGGAAGCCUGAGGCAGCAGCGCCGCGUGCGGGAUGACGGCCUUCGGGUUGUGAACCGAUUUCGCCUGUGACGAAGCGUGAGUGACGGUAAUGGGUAAAGAAGCACCGGCUAACUACGUG
rnacentral:rRNA from 1 species